rnacentral:rRNA from 1 species
GACAGAGGGUGCAAACGUUGUUCGGAAUUACUGGGCGUAAAGCGCGUGUAGGCGGCUAUGCAAGUCGGGUGUGAAAUCCCACGGCUCAACCGUGGAAGUGCACUCGAAACUACGUAGCUGGAGUUCUGGAGAGGAAGGUGGAAUGCUCGGUGUAGAGGUGAAAUUCGUAGAUAUCGAGUGGAACACCGGUGGCGAAGGCGGCCUUCUGGACAGAAACUGACGCUGAGACGCGAAAGCGUGGGGAGCAAACAGGAUUAGAAACCCGAGUAGUCC